rnacentral:rRNA from 1 species
UACAGAGGUCUCAAGCGUUGUUCGGAUUUAUUGGGCGUAAAGAGCUCGUAGGCGGCUUGUCGCGUCGUCCGUGAAAACUUGGGGCUCAACCCCAAGCUUGCGGUCGAUACGGGCAGGCUCGAGUUCGGUAGGGGAGACUGGAAUUCCUGGUGUAGCGGUGAAAUGCGCAGAUAUCAGGAGGAACACCGAUGGCGAAGGCAGGUCUCUGGGCAUUAACUGACGCUGAGGAGCGAAAGCAUGGGGAGCGAACAGG